rnacentral:piRNA from 1 species
GUGUGCAGAUAUACAUGGAAGCAGAAUUUU